GACGAACGCUGGCGGCGUGCUUAACACAUGCAAGUCGAACGGAAAGGCCCUGCUUUUGUGGGGUGCUCGAGUGGCGAACGGGUGAGUAACACGUGAGUAACCUGCCCUUGACUUUGGGAUAACUUCAGGAAACUGGGGCUAAUACCGGAUAGGAGCUCCUGCUGCAUGGUGGGGGUUGGAAAGUUUCGGCGGUUGGGGAUGGACUCGCGGCUUAUCAGCUUGUUGGUGGGGUAGUGGCUUACCAAGGCUUUGACGGGUAGCCGGCCUGAGAGGGUGACCGGCCACAUUGGGACUGAGAUACGGCCCAGACUCCUACGGGAGGCAGCAGUGGGGAAUAUUGCACAGUGGGCGGAAGCCUGAUGCAGCAACGCCGCGUGCGGGAUGGCGGCCUUCGGGUUGUAAACCGCUUUCGCCUGUGACGAAGCGUGAGUGACGGUAAUGGGUAAAGAAGCACCGGCUAACUACGUG
rnacentral:rRNA from 1 species